AAAUAGGUCUAGCUCGAGACCUUUUAAUAGGCACUACAACAAAAUUAAGCUAUAGUGACAUAUGUUUGGGACACUUUUGUCUAAGUGUCCUAUUUAUGCCAAAAUUUAAAAAAACAUCUACUAAUGUCUAAAUAUAAAGCCGAAUCCAACAAAAAAUAAAAGGUUACUCUACUCAGCCCACCCAACCGAACCCAUUUGACCCGAUUACAAACAGAAAAGAAAAAAUAAAAAAAUAAUCGAUUACCAUCUCCCCUUCUCCUCUCACUCAUUCCAGUGAAAUGCUAGACGAAGGGCCCUUCCCUUUCGUCCUCCUCCGCCACCGCAACCAACGAGGUAAAGUUCCGGUGGUUGCUAGAUACUUAAAUAAGUGUUGCUAAAUUAACAGCAUUUUUUUUAGGUUACAGCGACACUCUUUAACUGUCACUAUAUACCUAGCGACCCCACAUAUAGCAAUACUUUUUAAAAAUGUCGGUAAUUUAGCCAGCAAUACUUUUUUUGACCUGUAUCGAUAUUUAAAAAUGUCGCUAUAGACCGUUUUUGUUGUAGUGAGAUCUAAGAUGUUGUUGGGCGGAAAAAUU
rnacentral:lncRNA from 1 species